rnacentral:rRNA from 1 species
AUGUGGCUGUCUCUGCUCAAUUUAGCUACUUUUCAGUCAGCUGAGUUUUCACUUUUGCGUCAGUCAAUUUCUUGUCCGUUGGAUAGUGCUAUGGGAUGCGUCAUAUUUCAGUUUAUUCCCGUUUUAGAUUUGGGCCAAGUAGUAUCGACUAACCCGUCAGUCAAAUCGAUUUCUGCUCGGCUCGUGCUCCUCGCGGGGCGCCCGUUAAGCUGCCCGACCCGUUUGGAUGGAACGCAGACCGUCGCUGUUCUUCUCGUCUUACCCCUUCCUCCUUGGUUUCUGUCAGUCACUUCCCCCUCCCCCUCUCCGCCCCAGUCUCUCUUGGUCUCUGUCUUCUCCUCUUCCUGCCCCAAGCUAGGGUUCGUGGAGUUUCUUGCUAGAUCUGCUCCCUCUGCGAAUACUUCUUCUUUUGCUUUUUGUUUUUGCUGGAUCUGCUCCCUCUGCGAAUACUACUUCUUUUGCUUUUUGUUUCUGCUAGAUCUGCUCAUUUUCACUUUGUUUGUGCUUACUAAGGUGCUUCUCUAUGGUUCACUAUGGUGUUUGCAGGAUUUACCAAUCGGGGGAGUUUCGUUGAUGACGGAUUGCCGUUGCUCCAUCUCCUCUUUUUCAGGCAUGGUUUGCCCUGUUUGUCGUUGUCCAGGUGCUCCUUGCGUACCAUUUCUGCGAGCGGAUGAAGUCCCUGAAGUUUUCGAUGUUGUCGUUGACGAGGAUUGCUUCAGAAGGAUGGUCCUUGCAGUUCUCCCCGAUUGCUUUGUGCUAAUUCUUAUUUUUGAGUGGUCAACAAGUCUUGCUCAACAACUGUAUCAAAAUUGUUCCAACUCUGCUCUAAUAGCUGCAAUUCUGAACGCUCAUGAUUUCCACCGAAAUGACCACAACUCACUGUAUUUUGUUCCAGGUCAACACAUGAGAUACAACAGGAAUAUGGACCCUAUAAUUAAAGGAAAAGGGGGUGUGUGGUCAGAUUGUCAUUUACCUUGCAAUUACCAGAAGCAGCUUGUUCUCCAGAAAUAA